rnacentral:rRNA from 1 species
UACGAAGGGGGCUAGCGUUGUUCGGAAUCACUGGGCGUAAAGCGCACGCAGGCGGAUCGAUAAGUCGGGGGUGAAAGCCCGAGGCUCAACCUUGGAAUUGCCUUUGAUACUGGCGGUCUCGAGUCCGGAAGAGGUUGGUGGAAUUCCUAGUGUAGAGGUGAAAUUCGUAGAUAUUAGGAAGAACACCAGUGGCGAAGGCGGCCAACUGGCCCGGUACUGACGCUGAGGUGCGAAAGCGUGGGGAGCAAACAGG